UACGUAGGGCGCAAGCGUUGUCCGGAAUUAUUGGGCGUAAAGAGCUCGUAGGCGGUUUGUCGCGUCUGCUGUGAAAACCUAAGGCUCAACCUUGGGCUUGCAGUGGGUACGGGCAGACUAGAGUGCGGUAGGGGUGACUGGAAUUCCUGGUGUAGCGGUGGAAUGCGCAGAUAUCAGGAGGAACACCGAUGGCGAAAGGCAGGUCAC
rnacentral:rRNA from 1 species